rnacentral:rRNA from 1 species
UCCUACGGGAGGCAGCAGUCGAGAAUCUUCGGCAAUGGGCGCAGGCCUGACCGAGCGACGCCGCGUGUGGGAUGAAGGCCUUCGGGUUGUAAACCACUGUCAGAGGGGAUGAAAUGCAGGUGGGUUCUCCCAUCUGUUUGACAUAGCCUCAGAGGAAGGACGGGCUAAGUUCGUGCCAGCAGCCGCGGUA